rnacentral:rRNA from 1 species
GGAAGAAUAAGCACCGGCUAACUACGUGCCAGCAGCCGCGGUAAUACGUAGGGUGCGAGCGUUAAUCGGAAUUACUGGGCGUAAAGCGUGCGCAGGCGGUUUGCUAAGACCGAUGUGAAAUCCCCGGGCUCAACCUGGGAACUGCAUUGGUGACUGGCAGGCUAGAGUAUGGCAGAGGGGGGUAGAAUUCCACGUGUAGCAGUGAAAUGCGUAGAGAUGUGGAGGAAUACCGAUGGCGAAGGCAGCCCCCUGGGCCAAUACUGACGCUCAUGCACGAAAGCGUGGGGAGCAAACAGGAUUAGAUACCCUGGUAGUCCACGCCCUAAACGAUGUCAACUAGUUGUUGGGGAUUC